rnacentral:lncRNA from 1 species
UAAGCCCAGCAACCAUUGAUAUCCAGACAAGCUUUUGCUUAACCAGCCAAGCUUGUUUGUCUAAACCAAAGAAUUAUUUCAAAAGGAUUUCUGGGUUGGAAUGGAUUUAUUCCUGUUCCACCCAAACUGCUUCAGUAAUUGUUAUGACCUGUCAAUAUCAUUUAUGGGUUGGAAUGGAUUUAUUCCUGUUCCACCCAAACUGCUUCAGUAAUUGUUAUGACCUGUCAAUAUCAUUCUUCAAAUUCAUUUGAUUUUGAAGAAAGAAUCAGAAACACACCUAACGGUGAACUCAUGUUUCUGUGGGAUUAUCAUACAACAUUCACAUGCAGCAGUUCCUCUGUGGAAGCUUCCGUCGUUUGAACUCAUAUC